GGCAGCAUGGCAUAGUGGUUUUGAGUGCUGGACUACAAACUCUGAAGACCAGGGUUUGAUUCCCAGCUCAGCCA